rnacentral:rRNA from 1 species
AUGGGGCCGCCCCGUGGCGCUUCUCGCGCUACUCUCGCCCUCCUCCUCCUCCUCGCGCUGUCGGCGGCGCUCGCCCCCGCCCGCGCGGCCGCCACGGGCGUCUUCGAGGUGCGCCGCAAGUUCCCGCGCCACGACGGGAGCGGCAAGCACCUGGCGGGCCUCCGGGAGCACGACGCGCGCCGCCACGGCCGCUCCCUCGCCGCCGCCGUCGACCUGCCCCUCGGCGGCAACGGCCUCCCCACCGAGACCGGGCUCUACUUCACGCAGAUUGGGAUCGGCACGCCGGCCAAGAGCUACUACGUGCAGGUGGACACCGGCAGCGACAUACUCUGGGUCAACUGCGUCUCCUGCGACACCUGCCCCCGCAAGAGCGGCCUCGGGAUAGAGCUGACGCUGUACGACCCGAGCGGAUCGUCGAGCGGCACCGGGGUCACGUGCGGCCAGGAGUUCUGCGUGGCGACUCACGGCGGCGUGCUCCCGUCCUGCGUCCCCGCCGCGCCGUGCCAGUACAGCAUCUCAUACGGAGACGGAAGCUCCACGACGGGAUUCUUUGUCACGGACUUCUUGCAGUACAACCAGGUGUCUGGCAAUAGCCAAACCACCCCGGCCAAUACAAGCAUCACGUUUGGGUGCGGUGCUAAGAUUGGUGGAGAUUUGGGGUCGUCAAGCCAGGCUCUUGACGGGAUUCUUGGAUUUGGUCAGUCAAAUUCAUCCAUGCUGUCGCAGUUAGCGGCUGCAGGAAAAGUGAGGAAGGUCUUCGCACAUUGCUUGGACACCAUAAAUGGUGGAGGGAUUUUUGCUAUUGGGGAUGUCGUGCAGCCCAAAGUGAGCACAACGCCGUUGGUGCCCGGCAUGCCGCAUUACAAUGUCAACUUGGAAGCAAUUGAUGUUGGUGGUGUUAAGCUACAGCUUCCAACAAAUAUUUUUGGUAUAGAGGAAAGUAAGGGUACCAUUAUUGACAGUGGAACAACAUUGGCGUAUCUACCAGGGGUGGUUUAUAAUGCUAUAAUGUCUAAGGUAUUUGCUCAGUAUGGAGAGAUGCCCUUAAAAAAUGAUCAAGAUUUCCAAUGUUUCAGAUAUUCUGGAAGUGUAGACGAUGGAUUUCCUAUAAUCACCUUUCACUUUGAGGGCGGCCUUCCACUGAAUAUUCAUCCACAUGACUAUCUUUUUCAAAAUGGGGAGCUGUACUGCAUGGGGUUCCAGACUGGUGGAUUGCAAACCAAGGAUGGAAAAGAUAUGGUGCUUUUGGGAGAUCUAGCAUUUUCAAACAGACUGGUUCUUUAUGAUUUGGAAAACCAAGUUAUUGGAUGGACCGAUUACAACUGCUCCUCCAGCAUUAAAAUCAAGGAUGACAAGACUGGAUCAAUAUAUACUGUGAAUGCACAUGAUAUCUCAUCUGGAUGGAGAUUUCAGUGGCACAAGCCCUUGUUUGUAUUGCUAGUAACGGCGCUGUGCAGCUAUACAAUGUUCUAA